ACGACCGUACCGCAAACCGACACUGGUGCGCGAGAUGAGUAUUCUAAGGCGCUUGAGAGAACUCAGGAGAAGGAACUCGGCAAAUUGACACCGUAACUUCGGAAGAAGGUGUGCCUUUAGUAGGUGAAGGGAUUUACUCCCGGAGCCCAAUGAGGUUGCAAAAAAUCGGUGGCUGCGACUGUUUAAUAAAAACACAGCACUCUGCAAACACGAAAGUGGACGUAUAGGGUGUGACGCCUGCCCGGUGCUGGAAGAUUAAAUGAUGGGGUGCAAGCUCUUGAUUGAAGUCCCAGUAAACGGCGGCCGUACGAUAACGGUCCUAAGGUAGCGAAAUUCCUUGUCGGGUAAGUUCCGACCUGCACGAAUGGCGUAACGAUGGCCACACUGUCUCCUCCUGAGACUCAGCGAAGUUGAAAUGUUUGUGAUGAUGCAAUCUCCCCGCGGAAAGACGGAAAGACCCCAUGAACCUUUACUGUAGCUUUGUAUUGGACUUUGAACAGAUCUGUGUAGGAUAGGUGGGAGGCUUUGAAGCAGGGUCGCUAGAUCUUGUGGAGCCAACGUUGAAAUACCACCCUGGUGUGUUUGAGGUUCUAACCUAGGCCCGUAAUCCGGGUCGGGGACAGUGCAUGGUAGGCAGUUUGACUGGGGCGGUCUCCUCCCAAAGCGUAACGGAGGAGUUCGAAGGUACGCUAGGUACGGUCGGACAUCGUGCUAAUAGUGCAAUGGCAUAAGCGUGCUUAACUGCGAGACUGACAAGUCGAGCAGAUGCGAAAGCAGGACAUAGUGAUCCGGUGGUUCUGUAUGGAAGGGCCAUCGCUCAACGGAUAAAAGGUACUCUGGGGAUAACAGGCUGAUACCGCCCAAGAGUUCAUAUCGACGGCGGUGUUUGGCACCUCGAUGUCGGCUCAUCUCAUCCUGGGGCUGUAUCCGGUCCCAAGGGUAUGGCUGUUCGCCAUUUAAAGAGGUACGUGAGCUGGGUUUAAAACGUCGUGAGACAGUUUGGUCCCUAUCUUCCGUGGGCGCUGCAGAUUUGAGGAAGCCUGCUCCUAGUACGAGAGGACCGGAGUGGACGCACCCUGGUGUAUCGGUUGUCAUGCCAAUGGCAUUGCCGAGUAGCUAUGUGCGGAAGAGAUAACCGCUGAAAGCAUCUAAGCGGGAAACUCGUUUCAAGAUGAGAUCUGCCGGGGCCUUGAGCCCCCUGAAGAGUCGUUCAAGACCAGGACGUUGAUAGGUCGGGUGUGGAAGCGCAGUAAUGCGUUAAGCUAACCGAUACUAAUUGCUCGUGCGGCUUGACCC
rnacentral:rRNA from 1 species